UAAUUUAGCAAUCUGAUAACUAUUACGUGUUAAGAAACAGACGUACCACAGUUAUAACCAGUUUACCUGUGUGAAUUUGCUUUCACUGCGUGUAGAACAGUUGUUUUUCUCGUCCGUCGCCGCGAAAGAUGACGGCUGGUACGCAUGCGCAGCGAAAACCGGUGAAAAAAAUGUCGAGUUGUUCUAUCUUUGUCCGCGAGUGGCGCUGCAUUUCUGAGUUUGGCAAGUCAAGUAUUGGGUGUGCGUUCAUCAUGAUAUUGUAUUGCCAACACGUCAUGGAUCUGGAGUGCAUACUAUAUAUCGGUACUAGGCCUAGGUCUAUAUCACCACUUAGGAAAUAGACGAAGACGGAAUCGGUGCGAAAACAAAUCGAAUGCGCACACUCGGAAUACGUCAGAAGGCCUAGUAAGCUGACUUCGGACAGUGCCUAGAGAGACACGGCGAUCCUUUGUUCAAGGGUCAGUGCAAACUUCUUUGAAUUCGUCUAUCAACGUAAUGACGUAACUGGUGAAAUAACGAGGAGUAGGCCUUGUGGUGAAACAAUAUUGCGCAAUGUUAUUUUGGUAGAAGGUUGUGGCAGUGAAGGGACUGUGUGCAUGCACUUGAGGGAGUGUGUUCAUCCAGAUAGGCCUGUUUGAAGAAGAGGAAUCGGCUCCAAAACAAUUUAAACAAUGAGUGCGCACACCCAGAACAUGUCACUCGUCAGAAGGCCUUAGCUGACUUUAGACAAUGCCUAGGGACACCACGCUCUUGUCAGCACCAAAACAGACUUCUUCGAAUUCGUCUAUUUAUAGGACAUUUGCAGUAUUGCCAGAUACGCCGGCACCACCUAGGGUCGCCAAAACAAACCAUGUUUACAAUAGAUCUUCACAGAAAAGGAUGCACAUUGGCUCGAGACCACAUUCGAAAGUCGGUCACUCGGGUCAGCGGGUAGCACGUGUGCACAGCAUGAUGCACUGUCAAGAUGUUUUACUAUUUGUAAUACAAUUUUUUUAAGGAUAUUUGAUUGACGGGACGCAAUAGCAUCGGCCAGCAUCACCAUGGCAAUGACGGCAUGAAAGAGGCUCGGCACCUCCAGCACAUAUCGUUUAAGAUAUAUUUCAAAUCAGUUGAAAAAUUUUUUUUCUACCACUUAAUACAUGUAUUUCUUUUUGUUUUGUAGAUUAUGAUUGCAUUGGGUUACCAAAUCUUGGUAACUCAUGUUUUUUAAAUGUGACAUUGCAGGCCCUCCGUGCCACCCCUGGGGUUUUUAAUGCCACUUGUGCCCACACUCAGUCAGUCAGUGUUUUGAAGAAUGUAAAAUCCAGUGUGUGAUAAACAUGUGUAAAGAAACCUUUCGUAAGAUGCCAGAAGAGCUUUACAACAAUCUUGGACUGGGAGGCUAUGAUUUGUUUAGUACAACAAUGCGAGGGACUUAACAAAAUUGAGGUGGAUGUUCUUGAGGCAGUGUCGGUGCAUGGAAGAAACGGAAACAUUGGAUUAAGGAUUUAUUUCAUAGUGAAUUACACAAUCACAAAUGGAUUACACACGUUCUGGAUAAGACUAGUUCCUGCUGCAACUGACAUUUUUGCAGGUGCUCACUCGUAGGCGAUACCUUGAUGUCUUCCUUGGAUUUUACAUGAUAUUAUGUCAUUUUCGCCAACAUCGGGUUUUGGCGCCAAGACGUUUGUUCCUAGAACGGUUGAUUUAAAUGCUGAAUGUGGUCAGUUUUAAUUUAUAUCGCAGGUGUCUACCCAAACAAUUUUAGAUGCUUUCUGCUGAAUCUUCUACUACUACUGUUUUUACUGGGGUUUCAUCGAUGUUUUUUGGUGGAGUGUGACUCUAAAGUAAUAGGCAGCUUGUUAUGCCCCCGCCAAUGCGUAAAGCAUUGCGGAGGCAUUAUGUUUUACCAAUGUCCGUCAGCCGGUAGGCGUCAGGCGUCUGUAAACUUUUCGUUUCCUCUCAUUUUAACGAGAACGCUUUGAGUAAUAACCAUGUAACUUUUUAUGUGGGUAAAAAAAGAUAACGUGUACAGCGGGCAUUACAGACUAAUAACUCUUUCACGAUGUCAACUAAACCUAGUCAGCUAUGACACCAGCUACCCGGGGUUGUCUGAAAAACACUUCACUUUCCUAAUACACCAACUCAAUGUGCUCACCGGGGCAUAUGCUACGCCAUGCGUUGCUCUUGUUAUUGCAGUAUUUUUGUUCUUCCUCUGGUUCACCUAUAAACUAUUUUUCCAAUCUCCAAUCAUGUUUGAUGCUUUAGCCAUUUUGUUUCAGCUCUUAGAUAGUAGAAAAACGUGUUAUUCAUUAUUUCUGGUAGCACAAGUCCUGGCACGAAAUACCUUUCCCGCCAUAAUAUCACUAUCAGUACCAAGACGUCACAGGGUAGGUCCUAACUCCAGGAAACGCCUUACUAGUGCACUGUUCCACGUGAAAAGGGUCACUGCUUGGAGAGCUAAAUGGGUCAACAUCAGAAAAGCGCGAUAAUUCAGUCUUUGGAAUUUUUCCUUUUUUUGUGCAAUUUGUUGAUGGAAACUACUUAUGUAGAACAGGAGGUGACUGGGCAGCGGACAGCUGGGUAAUAUUGCCCUUAACCCCUCGCCUCCCUAGAGGGGACGAUAUAUCGUCCCUGUAUUUUGUCUCGCGUAGGUGGUACGAUAUAUCGUCCCUAUACUAAUGCUUUAGUAUAGAACUCUCAGUACACGUUAGACGCUAUUGUACAGUGUAUUCAUGUCCCUGGUGAUCUGCAGAAGACUAGAUUUAGUUUCAUUCAUAAUCAUAGUUUACAGAGGGCGCUGCAGUUUGAUGGGCGCUUGUGCAGCGUCACAGUACAAGAACUGAUCAGCAUAAAUUAAUAUUAUGUUGUAUUAUUCGAUCAAUCAGUAAUAGAAUCAAUCAAAGUUUAUCAAUCAAGUUACGUUGAUCAUUAACAGGUUGUAACUGCAUCAAUUACACUUCCAUAUACUUUGUUCAAAUCAGAAAAAUCAAUCAAUUAGAGCAAAAUCAAUCAAAAAAUAUUGAUUAUUACUGAUUAUUGAUUACCUCUUACCUAAUUGAUACCCAGAAACAACGCCAAUUGAUAGCCAAGGUAAUCAGCUUUACAAAAAUGUAUGGUUUUAUUAGUCGUACUUCCACCUAUCAAAUCCCCGUGUCUUUUGCGCUUACACCUAUGAAUUGUCGUGUCUAAAUAGACCCGUGUGUCAAAUCCCCGUGUCUAUUAGCCCCAUCGAGCUCGAUGGGGCUAAUCGGGGGCUAAUUUAGACCCGUGUUCAACAUGGGUUUUUGAUAGGUGGAAUCUGAAUAGACACGGCAAUUGCAAGUUCUAAGAUCCGGCGACAGAUGGCGCGGUGUAGUUGCCUCGGUAUUGCGCAUGCGAAAUUCCCCUCCAACAGGAAAGAAACACAGGAGAGCUCCCUACCUACAGCGCACCUGUCGCCGGGGCUAUUAACCAUUAUCUAACACAACUGAUAGGUGUAAGUGCGCCGCUGGUUUUUUGACACACGGCGAAGACACGGGUCUUGAAAAAACACGGGGUUUUAUCAUAGGUGGAACUAUGACUAUAAAUCAAGGAUGCAUAAUGAAGGAGGUACAAUAUUUAAAAGUAUUUUUACGUUAUUUUGCAUAAAACUGGUAAAAAAUCUCGGUACAUCGCGUUACAUAGGCCUCGGGAGCCAAAGGGUUAAUAAUGCCUAAGGUCCUUUAAUAAUUUUGGUACCAACCCAAGUGCUUGAAGUGGUUGGAAUACCAUAACCUAUGCAGACACGUGAGGGCCAUUUACACGGAACCAGUGAUCUUGAUCGAUCCAGAUCAUUCUAGAUUGGUUUGCUGCGUUUAUCCUCUUGACUCCCAAAACUUGAAAAUCACGGGAUCCCAGGGUGGUCACGUGGUUGCGAAAUUGGGUCUGACGUUCACGAUGUAUGGCGCCCGCAUACAACCGCCAAAGUCCGGUGACGAGGCACCAUCUACCCAGGCAUGCUCUAACUGACCCUACUGUACAUCAAACACGCUAAAACCAGCAAUAAAAUAGCGUCAAGCUCAAGGGAAUAAAAAUAUUACUGAGACCGACCUGUCGGUCGUUGGGAAAAAAAACAUUAUUUCAAAAUGACUGACUGGUCGGUCACCGGGAUUCAAGAGGUUGACUGCGCACCAUUGGUCAUUCGCAAGAAACACAUGUUUAAGUUUUGAAUAUAAAGUUAAAAUAAAAGAUUGAGGUGUGUCGUGUAAUCAAGCAAUGUGCGUAUUCAUUUACGCGACACUCGUUAAUCAUCUUCUGUAAUAAUUUGUUUGAGUAAUCUUGGAAAGUUUUGAAAAAUGGCGUCCAUUACAUUUACAUUCUUCGCUCGUGCCUCAUCUCAACUAGAGCCCUUUGACGAGAGAAAAUGGCUUUUUCUUGCAUUUAUCUGAAAAAACUUGACUUUCCUGAGAAACGUGACAGUGCCCAAGUUGUAGGGUAAUUACACAUUUCUUCAAGUCCCAAUAUAACAUUCAUUGAGUUAAGUUGAAAUCAGCAUGACAGUGAACUGAAUGGCUGCAAGAAUUUCCAGCAAGUACUUGUACCGGUAAUAUUUUUGUCUGACAACAACCGUUUUUGGGCCUUUUGAGCUGAUUUGACCUUAUUAUAUAUGAGAGUAGUAGACAGAUCAAGUUGUUUGAAAUGACUGACAUAAUUUUAAAAGCCCUUGUCCUGCAAUUGCCACCGUGAUAAUGUAUCUCAAGUGCCCAAGCCACAUAUGUACAAAUGAUAAUCAUGUUUGGCAAAAUUAAAUGUGUGGUGAAUAUUGAAAGUUCAAGUGUGAACACAUUAUGUAAAAGUGUGGAAUUACACAUUGAGAACUGUAUAAUCCCAGUAAAUGAUUUUUAUACAUAUUGUAUUAUUGAAGUCAUGAAGACUGUGAGUGUGAAUUUUAUCCUGAUACUUAAAGGCAGAAAGGGAAUUGAAGAUAGUGACAAAAAUUGUAUUUUUUCCUAAUGUUAAGUCGGGAUCGUGGGAUCAUUGAUUUCUGCCCGUUUCUAGUAUUGUGAGAAUGUAUUUGGUCAUUUGUUUUGAUGCAUGAAUGAAGUAACCCGGAUCGCAAUUAUUGAAAAAUUUGUGUAGAAACUUCAUUUGUAGUAGAGUGUGUUUAUCUGUUACUUCUAAUGCUUUUAAAGUCUUGAAUAAGGGUUUGGUGUGGGGUAUGAGCAGAGCAGAUAAUAAUAAUUAAAUGACCUGAAA